rnacentral:rRNA from 1 species
CCUACGGGUGGCAGCAGUGGGGAAUAUUGGACAAUGGGGGCAACCCUGAUCCAGCCAUGCCGCGUGUGUGAAGAAGGCCCUCGGGUUGUAAAGCACUUUCAGUGAGGAAGAACGCCUGGUGGUUAAUACCCAUCAGGAAAGACAUCACUCACAGAAGAAGCACCGGCUAACUCCGUGCCAGCAGCCGCGGUAAUACGGAGGGUGCGAGCGUUAAUCGGAAUUACUGGGCGUAAAGCGCGCGUAGGUGGCUUGAUAAGCCGGUUGUGAAAGCCCCGGGCUCAACCUGGGAACGGCAUCCGGAACUGUCAAGCUAGAGUGCAGGAGAGGAAGGUGGAAUUCCCGGUGUAGCGGUGAAAUGCGUAGAGAUCGGGAGGAAUACCAGUGGCGAAGGCGGCCUUCUGGACUGACACUGACACUGAGGUGCGAAAGCGUGGGUAGCAAACAGGAUUAGAUACCCCGGUAGUC